UUCCAAGAUGAGAUGGGAUUCUCCAACAUGGAAGAUGAUGGCCCAGAAGAGGAGGAGCGUGUGGCUGAGCCUCAAGCUAACUUUAACACCCCUCAAGCUCUACGGUUUGAGGAACUACUGGCCAACCUACUAAAUGAACAACAUCAGAUAGCGAAGGAACUAUUUGAACAGCUGAAGAUGAAGAAACCUUCAGCCAAACAGCAGAAGGAGGUAGAGAAGGUUAAACCCCAGUGUAAGGAAGUUCAUCAGACCCUGAUUCUGGACCCAGCACAAAGGAAGAGACUCCAGCAGCAGAUGCAGCAGCAUGUUCAGCUCUUGACACAAAUCCACCUUCUUGCCACCUGCAACCCCAAUCUCAAUCCGGAGGCCAGUAGCACCAGGAUAUGUCUUAAAGAGCUGGGAACCUUUGCUCAAAGCUCCAUCGCCCUUCACCAUCAGUACAACCCCAAGUUUCAGACCCUGUUCCAACCCUGUAACUUGAUGGGAGCUAUGCAGCUGAUUGAAGACUUCAGCACACAUGUCAGCAUUGACUGCAGCCCUCAUAAAACUGUCAAGAAGACUGCCAAUGAAUUUCCCUGUUUGCCAAAGCAAGUGGCUUGGAUCCUGGCCACAAGCAAGGUUUUCAUGUAUCCAGAGUUACUUCCAGUGUGUUCCCUGAAGGCAAAGAAUCCCCAGGAUAAGAUCCUCUUCACCAAGGCUGAGGACAA
rnacentral:circRNA from 1 species